GAAAAGAGUAAAACACCCAUUUUUGCCAAAAGUAUACAGGUUUCAAAAAGUCUAAUUGCUUUACCAUUUGCUAAACACAAAGGGAAUUAAAUGCGGACGCCAGUAAGUGUGGUUAACAUUAAUUCAACAGAUUCACUGAAUGCCUACUAUGUACAGGCACUGCGGGAGACAAAGGAAAUCAAGUAACGCCUUUGCCUUUGAGGAAUCGAACAGAAGACAGACAGGGAAAAAUGAUAGAUUCCUGGAACUACAGACAAGUAUACCAAAAUUUCACUAAGGAAAAGCUAUCGUUGAACUAACCUCAUUUCCUGUUCGGAGAGGGUCACUCAACUGAUACUUUGGGGAAAUACCACAGUCAUGCACCAAGAUUUCAUAAAAGGAUCCAAGUUUCAUCAUAUGGAUGAUGCUGACAAGCUAAGAACUAUACAACUAUAUAGGUAAGAGAAUCUGAAGUUGGUUGAACGCCCAGUGCAAUUUCAUUAAUUACCAACAAUCUUAUUCGGCUUUUAAAAGAUCAGGCGAAGGACCAUGGCCCUUUAAGCAUUUUAUAAAUGAUUUAGAGUAAUAUUUUUCAAACUUCGAUGUCUUUAAAUAAAGAUCUUUAAAACAAAACCUUCAAUGUUCUUGACACAACAGACUUAUCAAAUAUGCUGAUAGCCAACUUAGAUCCCUAGUAAGAUAAAUAUAAAAUCAAAACUCAAAAUAUGAUCUAGAGCUAAAAUCAACAAUAUGGAAUUUGCAUUUUAAAGGCCUGCUUUAAAAAUUUAAAAACUUCAAUAUUCAAGUAUGGAUUGGGGUUUAAUGUUAGCUACAGCAGAUGUGAAAAAGAUCUGUAUAUUUAAAUUGCCCAUGAGUUCAUGAAUCAAUUAACUUUAUAUUAUUAAAAAUGCUAACGUAAUCUUAGGCUGUACUGAUAACAAAAGUACGUUACAAUCAAAGAAUGUAAUAUAACUGUGUUUCACGAUGGACAGACCCUUUGGAAAAUGAUUUGAUGCUUACAAAAAACAUGACACUGCCUAUUCCUCUUUGUUGCAAUCAUUUACAGAAUCACAAGUUAAUUCUCCCUCAUUUUAUGAAGAUUUCAGCAUCCAGUCCACUGUCUCUCACCAAUACCAUUCCUGUUCUAAUUCUUGGUGGUUUCAAUGUCCAUGUAGAUGAUCCCACUAAAACACCCUGCCUCUCAGAUCCUUGACCUAAUUUUCUCCAUGAACUUGUCCUUUACUCCUUCAGAUGCCAACUCCAUGGUCAUACUCUAGACCUUUUCAUUACUAACUGUACUGCCUCUCUAUCUCAAUUUCAAGUAUCCACCUCCCAUUACGCCUUCUAGUACCCUAAUGCCAACAAACUUUUGAGUCCACUCAGAGUAUAUCAUACUAAUCUUACACCUUUUUUCACUGUCCCUCAAACCCACCUCCAAGCCCCCAUGUCCUCCUUCCCC